rnacentral:rRNA from 1 species
CAAUAGCGUAUAUUAAAGUUGCUGCAGUUAAAAAGCUCGUAGUUGGAUUUCGGGUGGGAAUGGCCGGUCCGCCGUUUCGGUGUGCACUUGCUACGCCCACCUUGCUGCCGGGGACGUGCUCUUGAGUUCACGCUCGGGACACGGAGUCGGCGAGGUUACUUUGAGUAAAUUAGAGUGUUCAAAGCAGGCCUACGCUCUGAAUACAUUAGCAUGGAAUAACACGAUAGGACUCUGGCCUAUCUUGUUGGUCUGUAGGACCGGAGUAAUGAUUAAGAGGGACAGUCGGGGGCAUUCGUAUUUCAUUGUCAGAGGUGAAAUUCUUGGAUUUAUGAAAGACGAACUACUGCGAAAGCAUUUACCAAGGAUGUUUUCAUUAA